rnacentral:lncRNA from 1 species
UAAAGUAAUUACGAAGCAAUGAGUUUUGAGUAUUUGUCACCUUCACUUUUAAUAUGUUUUAUUUAAUUAUAAGUUUAUAUGAUGCAAUUCUUGAUAACGGGCGAGUGGGCAUUGAUUUGCAAAAUUCGGAAAAUUCAACAGUUAUUACCACUUAGUAUGAGCCAGCUCCAGGAUACCACUAUCUAGGAUUUUUAGAGUGCCAACAUUCUAAAUCUUUAUACUAAAGCAUAAGCCGUUUGAAGCUGGGAAGGGCCAAGUGGAAUAAACCUAGGGAUUUUGGAAGUGUGCUCAGGAGGGGGGCAGAAAAACAUGUUUUCAGUGUAAUAUCCCACACAGAGCACAGAACUAAAAAAUAGAUGGCCAGCCAGUGAAUGAUGCAAUGACCCAACGGGGCAGUGGCCCAACCCACAUGCAGUAGGCUUUGUACUUUGAGUUAUUUUUUAAACCAUUAGUGGGGUAGGUUUAUAUUCCAUCCACCCACAUUAUGUCAUCCAGCCUUCCAUGGGACAAGUGGCACCAACUGUGGCCAGGAGGUAUCAGCAAUGCACUUAGUUACAAUGAGGUCUUGGAGAGCCUACAACAGGGACGUCAUCUGAUACACAGACUGGUCACAGCUGAAAAUCCAGGCAUUUCCAGAGCCCUGCAUGGAUUCUACCUAGACUUCCAGGCAGCCGCAAUCACCUUUGGGGCUGCCUAAUUCUGAAGCCCAGAAGGAUCCUCUACAUGGAUGGUUAAUCUCUUAAACUGAUCCCAAAAUGGAUUAUUGGGUGCCCUGUACAGUGCCCACUGCACUUACUCACCAGUUCUUGUUGGGAAAAAGGGGGAGUGGUAUUUGGGUUUUGUAGGGCUUUAUUUUAGUUGGGGGUUGCCUUUGAAAAUUCCCAGAAUAAAAUCUAUUGCUACAAACAAUCUUUUUCCUUUGCUUUUCGUCCCCCACUCCCUUCUCUCAAUCCCUCCUUUCCCUCCUCACAUCCCUACCUCUCUUUCCCCAUUUGCCAGUCCAGCCCAUAAGUUCUCUCCCUCCCUUUCUGGUUCCUACCUUACCUUCCCACCCAGACAAGAGAUGAGGGUGGUUCUAAUAGGAAAUGAGGUGCUAUAAUGCCCUGCAGAUGCCCGAAGCCUCAGACCCAAGAAACCAACAUUCUUGUCUCAUGUCUCCUGGCUUUGGCACCAUCCCAUGGUCCCAACUCCCUCUGAAUAGAAAGAAUUCUAAAUUCUUUUAACACUCUUAACAAGGUAGAGUCCACAGCCCCACUGACUGAAACACUCAUGGUUGGUCCUUUCCAUGAGCCUAGGUUGGUGCCUUUUGCAGUGGGAUCUGGAGGCCACAACUAAAACAAAAUAAACAUCCUCCUUCCCCCACAAAAAAAAAAAAAAAAAAAAAAAACAACUCAUUCCAGAGUCUCUUUGUUCAACUAAACAAAGAUUUAGGUGCCAGGCUCUCUGCCUGGGCAGAAACCCAAAGGUAGAGAAGUCCUGCUCCGAGGGAGUUCACAUUCUGGCUUCUCACAGCUAAGCUUUUCUGGAGCACACUGGUCAUUGACCAGUAGAAUGAAGUCACCUUCCUGCCUCAGCUUCCAACAAAAGUGGCAAUUCUGCUUCCUUGCAGACUCAUAAAGGUUCUGAAUGGUAAGGGUCCUGAGACAUCCCCAUAUCAGAGGUGGAAACUGAGGCCCAGAAAGAAAAAUGGUCUUGAGCAGGUCACACAGCUGGUGGCUGAGUUCGGCCUAGGCCUGUUUCCUUUUUCCCCACACCGCCCUGCCUCUCAGGCAUUCCUUUGCGCUGAUGAGCCAGGUGAAUCCAAGACAGCUGGCUGCUUCUGGGUUUGGCCUGAUUAUUCCCUUCCCUUGGGAGUUGUCCAGAUAAACUUCCCGGCAUGCUAAGAGGCUCACCUCCCAACUUGGAAGGACAGGAGUUCUCUGUGAGACCAGAGCCAAAGAAACUCAGUCAGCACUGAUACUGUCAAGCUCCCUGCACAAGGUAUUAAUACAAUUGCCUCCUGCCCCCAAGGCCAGAGCCCUCAGAUGCCCACAGAUCUGGUCUAUGCCUGAGAGCAUUGAUUUUUUGGUCCUUGAAAUUCAUCCAGUGCAAGUGUUUUCAAGCUAGCGGUCCCAAACCAUUAAUUGGUGGCAAAAUCUAAUUUUUUAAAGGAAAGAAAAGAGUAGAAAUGUCAGAGUAUAACACAUUUGUGGUAAGCAGAAUCUCGGAGGACCCCCAGUGACCUCACAUAAUCCCCUUGAGUGUGGAUAGGACCUGCGAAGAUGAUGGGAUAUCACACCCAAGAUUAUGGUAGUUAUCCAGCAAAGGAAGGGAUUUUGCAGAAAUAAUUAGGGCCCAUAAUCAGCUGGCUUUGAGAUAAUCAAAAGAGAGAUUAUCCUGGAUAGGACUGACCUAAUCAGGUUAACUCUUUACAAGAGAGGACCUCCUGUGGGCCUCACAGAAGAGGCAAACUGCCGUGAAUUCUAUUGCUGCAAGGAAAUGACUUCUGCCAACACCCGUGGGAGCUUGGAAGAGAACCUGAGCUUCAUAUGGAUGGCAGUACCAGCUGACACCUUACCGCCGCCUGGUAAGACCUCGAGCAGAGCAUCUAGCUAAACUGUGCCUGCACCCUGACCCAUGGAAACAGAGAUAAUAAAUAUUUGUUGUUUAAACCACUUGGUUUGUGGUAAUUUGUAGCACAAAAAUAGAAAACUAAUAGAAUACUCCAACAGUAAAAAUAAGUAUUAUUAACUUUUUUCUGGUUAUGUGUAUAGAUCCAUGAGUAUUUGACCAUGGUAUAAAAUACAAGUUUUGUUUUAGGAUGUGAUCAAAGCCUUGGAAGCCAUUGAUGUAGUUGGACAGUGAUUUAUCCCAGGUUAGGCAGCCAUUCCUGGAAGAAAACUGGAAUCCAAGUGUCCCUGGCUAAUGCUCCUUCCAUCAUACCAUCAUACCACACUGCUUAAUGUUGUUAGGAAACAUUAAUUCAAUUUUUGAGAGGAGAGAAGAGUGGGAAAGAGUUGGUUUACUCUGGUUGAAUCAGUUCUUUCUGCGUUAGGAUACUGCCACUCCAUGACAUUCUUCUUUUGUCAGACUAUCCCCACUCCACCUGCCUCAAGGUCUAUCUCACUGUAUGUUAUUACUGUGGGGUAAGUGCUUUGCAUAAAUGAUCUUGGUUAAUUCAUACAGCAGGCAAAUGAAGUAAACAUUUAAUGCCUCUAUUUUCCAGAUGACAAAAGUGAAGCUCUGAGAGGUUAAGCAAAACAUAACCGAAGACACAGGGCUGGUAAGUGAUAAACCCAGGAUUCCAACUCACGCCUGCUGAAUUCCAGUGCCUGAACCCUUCACACUUCUGACACCAAAUGUGUGG